rnacentral:tRNA from 1 species
GUCUCUGUGGCGCAAUCGGUUAGCGCGUUCGACUGUUAACUGAAAGGUUGGUGGUUCAAGCCCACCCAGGGACG